rnacentral:rRNA from 1 species
GACGAACGCUGGCGGCGUGCUUAACACAUGCAAGUCGAGCGGUAAGGCCCUUUCGGGGGUACACGAGCGGCGAACGGGUGAGUAACACGUGGGCGACCUACCCUCAGCUUCGGGAUAAGCCUGGGAAACUGGGUCUAAUACCGGAUAUGACCUUCCCUCGCAUGGGGGUUGGUGGAAAGUUUUUUCGGCUGGGGAGUGGGCCCGCGGCCUAUCAGCUUGUUGGUGGGGUGAUGGCCUACCAAGGCGACGACGGGAGCCGGCCUGAGAGGGCGACCGGCCACACUGGGACUGAGAUACGGCCCAGACUCCUACGGGAGGCAGCAGUGGGGAAUAUUGCGCAAUGGGCGGAAGCCUGACGCAGCGACGCCGCGUGGGGGAUGACGGCCUUC